ACUGAGGUUGUUAUGGUAAAAUAGAAAAGCCUUUAUUACAUCUUAGAUACAAAAACCCAACGCGUUUCAUCCUCACAGGGAGGGGCCUUCGUCAGGGGCACAUGCAUUAAGAAAAUAGAUGCGGGCCUGUAUCUAAGAUGUAAUAAAGAUUUGUUCUAUCUUUCUAUCUUCUGGUUUGCCUGACACACACAGGUCAACCAUAAAGUAACUGAGAUUAUAUUUCAUUCUUGUUUUCUCUCAGGAAUCAGACAACUAUGGCUGAUUUCAAACUACAAUGUGAACUGGGUGCUGGUGCUUUUGGCAAGGUGAGUUACUGGCCCCCUAGAUAUGGGGUGGGGGGUUAUUGGAACAAAGGCAUAAUAAUGGGGGUCUCUCUCUUAUUUCAGGUAUAUCGGGCACAACACAGAGAAACCAGGAGAAUUGUAGCCAUCAAGACUCAACCAAAGACUGCAGUCAAAACUAUAUUUAAAUAUAGAAGGUCAGUUAAAUGGGGAAACCGCAAACAAUAAGUAUUUGUGUGUAUAGUCUGGAACAUUCCUACAGGCAGAUGUUUUAUAUCUGUUCCAGAAGAUAUACAGAUUCCAUUAUUGAUAUAACAUUCUCUCAUAAAGUGCCAUUGGCUUAUUUUUAACAGAUUUAUUUAAACUUAAAUUGUAAAUCUGCCACCCUGAGGUGAUUUUCAUAAUCACAAUUUAUCCUUUUACUUGUUGAGAUUUAUCAUAAAAAAACAACACUUUGCAUAGAAAACCAUUCUUUCUAACGACUGCCAUGACGCAAUUGAGUCAGUAGGGAUCUGAUCUUCAGAACUGAUGAUUGUUUAUAAAUACACAAGGAAAAAAACACAAUUGUAUUAAAAAAAAUCCACUGAUUGAUAAGUUGUUGGGAUAUUGAUAGUUAUGCCCCUAAUUAAUUAUUACUAUAGGGAUUUAGUAGGAUUGGCUAAUUAUAAAUAUGCAACAAGUAACCUCCCAUUGGUCAAAGUGAAAUGAUUUCACCCUAAACCUUAGAACCAACCAAAGGGCCUGAUUAGUGUAUUUGGGCACAGGGUGGGUGAUGGUGCCACUAUAUUCUGUGCUUGCACUUGUAUACGUGUUAUAGUGCCAUUAGUAUAAAUGGGAGUUACAUUCACUACAUUCAUGGUGUAGAUGUCCCACCUAUGUAAUUUUCUUCUAUAAAUGUUUCAUGGCUUUAUUUUGCAGCAUUCUUCUGGAGCAGCGCAUCCUUCUUAUGGCAAAGCAGAAGCAGAAUCCUUUUGUUGUCGGUUUAUUCGCCUCCUUCAUAACCAGACAACAUAUCUGCUUCGCUAUGGAUUACGCUAAGGGAGGGGACUUGGAGUCCCAACUGAAACAAGGUGCCAUAUCGCUGGAGAGAACUACGUUCUUCUCCUCCUGCAUUGUCCUCGGGCUGAAGUUCCUACAUGAAAACAAGAUCGUUCAUAGGUAAGUGGAGAAUUUCCUUUAGUCCUAGAAAUGUCUGAUAUGGUAAUUGGGCCGGCUAACAGUGUCUGUUCUCUCAAUACAGAGAUUUAAAGCCAGAAAACAUCCUUCUGGAUGGCCGAGGAUAUGCCAAAAUAGCAGACUUUGGUCUUAGCAUAGAAGGAAUUGGCUACAGGGACGAUAUCUGGG